GACGAACGCUGGCGGCGUGCUUAACACAUGCAAGUCGAACGAAAAGACGGAAAGAGCUUGCUCUUUUCAGAAUUGAGUGGCAAACGGGUGAGUAACACGUAAACAACCUGCCUUCAGGAUGGGGACAACAGACGGAAACGACUGCUAAUACCGAAUAAGUUCCAAGAGCCGCAUGGCCAUGGAAGAAAAGGUGGCCUCUACCUGUAAGCUAUCGCCUGAAGAGGGGUUUGCGUCUGAUUAGCUGGUUGGAGGGGUAACGGCCCACCAAGGCGACGAUCAGUAGCCGGUCUGAGAGGAUGAACGGCCACACUGGAACUGAGACACGGUCCAGACUCCUACGGGAGGCAGCAGUGGGGAAUCUUCCGCAAUGGGCGAAAGCCUGACGGAGCAACGCCGCGUGAGUGAUGACGGCCUUCGGGUUGUAAAACUCUGUGAUCCGGGACGAAAAGGCAGAGUGCGAAGAACAAACUGCAUUGACGGUACCGGAAAAGCAAGCCACGGCUAACUACGUGCCAGCAGCCGCGGUAAUACGUAGGUGGCAAGCGUUGUCCGGAAUUAUUGGGCGUAAAGCGCGCGCAGGCGGCUUCCCAAGUCCCUCUUAAAAGUGCGGGGCUUAACCCCGUGAUGGGAAGGAAACUGGGAAGCUGGAGUAUCGGAGAGGAAAGUGGAAUUCCUAGUGUAGCGGUGAAAUGCGUAGAGAUUAGGAAGAACACCGGUGGCGAAGGCGACUUUCUGGACGAAAACUGACGCUGAGGCGCGAAAGCGUGGGGAGCAAACAGG
rnacentral:rRNA from 1 species